ACAGACACAUGCACGAUGCACAGAACAGAGGGAGUAAGAGGAUAAGGAUGGUUCAGAUGUUCUCGGAGGCCCUUUCCAGCUUCGGCACUCUAUAAAUCUGUUUGGCGAGGACACUGGGGUUCAGAGAGAUCAAGGCGCUCCAUCAAAGUCAUCCGCUCAGGAAGUGGAUGAGCACGGCGUGACCCCAGACCUGUCUUCCCGUCAAAG